UGGAAUGUAGCCAAGCGGAAAGGCAAUAGACUUUGACUCUAUCAUGCGAUGGUUCGAUCCCAUCCAUUCCAGCCA
rnacentral:tRNA from 29 species